UGGGGAAUAUUGCACAAUGGGCGCAAGCCUGAUGCAGCCAUGCCGCGUGUGUGAAGAAGGCCUUCGGGUUGUAAAGCACUUUCAGCGGGGAGGAAGGCGUUAAGGUUAAUAACCUUGGCGAUUGACGUUACCCGCGGAAGAAGCACCGGCUAACUCCGUGCCAGCAGCCGCGGUAAUACGGAGGGUGCAAGCGUUAAUCGGAAUUACUGGGCGUAAAGCGCACGCAGGCGGUCUGUCAAGUCGGAUGUGAAAUCCCCGGGCUCAACCUGGGAACUGCAUUGGAAAGUGGCAGGCUUGAGUCUUGUAGAGGAGGGUAGAAUUCCAGGUGUAGCGGUGAAAUGCGUAGAUAUCUGGAGGAAUAACGGUGGCGAAGGCGGCCCCCUGGACAAAGACUGACGCUCAGGUGCGAAAGAGUGGGGAGCAAACAGG
rnacentral:rRNA from 1 species